UACAACCAAAACUUCAUUUCUACAGGGUC
rnacentral:piRNA from 1 species